rnacentral:rRNA from 1 species
GACGAACGCUGGCGGCGCGCCUAACACAUGCAAGUCGAACGAGCGAGAGAGAGCUUGCUUUCUUGAGCGAGUGGCGAACGGGUGAGUAACGCGUGAGGAACCUGCCUCAAAGAGGGGGACAACAGUUGGAAACGACUGCUAAUACCGCAUAAGCCCACGACCCGGCAUCGGGUUGAGGGAAAAGGAGCAAUCCGCUUUGAGAUGGCCUCGCGUCCGAUUAGCUAGUUGGUGAGGUAACGGCCCACCAAGGCGACGAUCGGUAGCCGGACUGAGAGGUUGAACGGCCACAUUGGGGCUGAGACACGGCCCAGACUACUACGGGAGGGAGCAGUGGGGAAUAUUGCAAAAUGGGGGGAACCCUGAUGCAGCGACGCCGCGUAGAGGAAGAAGGUCUUCGGAUUGUAAACUCCUGUUGUUGCGGAAGAUAAUGACGGUACUCAACAAAGAAGUGACGGCUAACUACGUG